rnacentral:rRNA from 1 species
GAAAAGAAACCAACAGGGAUUGCCCUAGUAACGGCGAGUGAAGCGGCAACAGCUCAAAUUUGAAAGCUGGCUCCGGCCCGCAUUGUAAUUUGCAGAGGAUGCUUUUGGCGAGGUGCCUUCCGAGUUCCCUGGAACGGGACGCCAUAGAGGGUGAGAGCCCCGUAUGGAUGGACACCAGACCUGUGUAAAGCUCCUUCAACGAGUCGAGUAGUUUGGGAAUGCUGCUCUAAAUGGGAGGUAAAUCUCUUCUAAAGCUAAAUACCGGCCAGAGACCGAUAGCGCACAAGUAGAGUGAUCGAAAGAUGAAAAGCACCUUGAAAAGGGGGUUAAACAGUACGUGAAAUUGUUGAAAGGGAAGCAUUUAUGACCAGACUUGCGCCGGGCAGCUCAUCAGGGGUUCUCCCCUGUGCACUCUGCCCGGCUCAGGCCAGCAUCGGUUCUCGUGGGAGGAUAAGAACAGUGGGAACGUGGCCCCCCUCCGGGGGGGUGUUAUAGCCCAUUGUACGAUACUCUCGUGGGGACCGAGGUUCGCGCUCCGCAAGGAUGCUGGCGUAAUGGUCAUCAAUGACCCGUCUU